rnacentral:tRNA from 1 species
CCGUCGUAGCCGAGCGGCCAAAGGCGUCAGACUCAAGAUCUGCUCCGUAGAGGUUCACCGGUUCGAAUCCGGUCGACGGCACCAU